GCUGGCGGCAGGCUUAACACAUGCAAGUCGAGCGGGCGUAGCAAUACGUCAGCGGCAGACGGGUGAGUAACGCGUGGGAACGUACCUUUUGGUUCGGAACAACCCAGGGAAACUUGGGCUAAUACCGGAUAAGCCCUUACGGGGAAAGAUUUAUCGCCGAAAGAUCGGCCCGCGUCUGAUUAGCUAGUUGGUGAGGUAACGGCUCACCAAGGCGACGAUCAGUAGCUGGUCUGAGAGGAUGAUCAGCCACAUUGGGACUGAGACACGGCCCAAACUCCUACGGGAGGCAGCAGUGGGGAAUAUUGGACAAUGGGCGCAAGCCUGAUCCAGCCAUGCCGCGUGAGUGAUGAAGGCCCUAGGGUUGUAAAGCUCUUUUGUGCGGGAAGAUAAUGACGGUACCGCAAGAAUAAGCCCCGGCUAACUUCGUGCCAGCAGCCGCGGUAAUACGAAGGGGGCCUAGCGUUGCUCGGAAUCACUGGGCGUAAAGGGUGCGUAGGCGGGUCUUUAAGUCAGGGGUGAAAUCCUGGAGCUCAACUCCAGAACUGCCCUUGAUACUGAGGAUCUUGAGUUCGGGAGA
rnacentral:rRNA from 1 species